rnacentral:misc_RNA from 1 species
GAUGAAGAACGUAGCGAAAUGCGAUACGUAAUGUGAAUUGCAGAAUUCAGUGAAUCAUCGAAUCUUUGAACGCAUAUUGCGCUCUCUGGUAUUCCGGAGUGCAUGCUUGUUUGAGUAUCAGUAAACACCUCAACUUCCAUAUCUUUUUUUGAAAUGGGAGUUGGACUUGAGUGAUCCCAACGCUUUUCCUCACCGAAAAGUGGCGGGUUACUUGAAAUGCAGGUGCAGCUGGACUUUUCUCUGAGCUAUAAGCAUAUCUAUUUAGUCUGCCUAAAAAACAGAUUAUUACCUUUGCUGCAGCUAACAUAAAGGAGAUUAGUUCUUGUGCUGACUGAUGCAGGAUUCACAAAGACAGCUUCGGCCGACUUUGUAAACUCGAUCUCAAAUCAAGUAAGACUACCCGCUGAACUUAAGCAUAUCAAUAAGCGGAGGA